rnacentral:rRNA from 1 species
AUUGAACGCUGGCGGCAGGCUUAACACAUGCAAGUCGAACGAGUGGCGGACGGGUGAGUAAUGCUUGGGAAUCUGGCCUAUGGAGGGGGAUAACUACGGGAAACGGUAGCUAAUACCGCAUACCAUAGGAUGAGCCCAAGUGGGAUUAGCUAGUAGGUGGGGUAAAGGCUCACCUAGGCGACGAUCUCUAGCUGGUCUGAGAGGAUGACCAGCCACACGGGGACUGAGACACGGCCCAGACUCCUACGGGAGGCAGCAGUGGGGAAUAUUGCACAAUGGGAGCAACCCUGACGCAGACAUGCCGCGUGAAUGAAGAAGGCCUUCGGGUUGUAAAGUUCUUUCGGUGGCGAGGCGUUAACCACAGAAGAAGCACCGGCUAACUCCGUGCCAGCAGCCGCGGUAAUAC